rnacentral:lncRNA from 1 species
UAACAUGUCUCAAAUUGACUUGUGCACUUGGCUUGUUUAUGGUACGCCACCGCAACUGCGGCAGGAAUGCGCCACGGAUGCCAACGGCAAUAACUGGUUUGCAUUCGACACAUUAAUUAACUUUGCCCAAGGUGCACAAACGAGCCACAAGGCAGGCAAGGUGCAAACAGCAUGACUUAACUUUUUAGCCACUAAUGAUGCCCCUGCACAACCCCGACAGAAUGGCGGCCACGGCAAGCACACCCAACCGGGUGGAUACAGCCACUGGGCCGACUACAACCACCUGGUCUGGUCUGGGUUGACACUACUGCAAGAACUUUUUAGCCACUAAUGAUGCCCCUGCACAACCCUGACAGAAUGGCGGCCACGGCAAGCACACCCAACCGGGUGGAUACAGCCACUGGGCCGACUACAACCACCUGGUCUGGUCUGGGUUGACACUACUGCAAGUAGCGGUUUAAGGUCCUGGGUUCGAUUCCUGGGGAGACCCCCGAAUUAGUCGGGAGCGCGAGAUUAUGGCUAGCUGCUGAGAUUUGGAGUUGAGGUCACAUUUGAUGGACCAGAUUCGCACGCUGGAUUGGUGGCGAUUGCCGAACCCUCUGUCUCUUAGGGUGUUCGGGUGAAUGGAUGAGGAGGGGUCCCUGAAGGCUGGAUCCGCCGCCUUGGACUUACAGUUCGUAUGGCGAAGUACAGUGUGGUAGUGGUGGAUGGUGCUAUAAGGUGAUAAAUGAUCUAGAACUGACAAUGUGAUAAAGCGGCCCAGAAGCCUCCCACUCUGUAACAUUACAUUACAUUACAUCACAACCACCAAGGUGGCCGCUACGGAGGCCGCGGUGGCAGUUGUGGUGGCGCCUAUGGCGGCCGUGGCCGAGGCAGCAACAUGGAAAUGCCGACAUGGGUUCGGGAGAUGGUGAAGGAAAAGAACAUCUAUCAUUGUGGACAGCCCUUUGGCAAGGGCCACCACUGCGGCAAAUGGCGGCGUUACAACAAGGACCGCAAAAAAAAUGCGGUUGCCUAGGAAGUUGCCCACAUCAUAGCCUCAGGCAGCUCGUGUGGGGAGCCGAUGGACAUAGAGGAACCAACCCGGAAUCCACCAACGGUGGACUGUAGCCACUGUGUGCUUCGUUCAGUGUUUCUGCAUCUGCAGAAGGCCCCGGGUCGGGUGUUCGUGAUCGAUGCAUCCUGUAACAUAUGAAGCGAC